GUGCCAGCCGCCGCGGUAAUACGUAGGGUGCGAGCGUUAAUCGGAAUUACUGGGCGUAAAGCGUGCGCAGGCGGUUGUGCAAGACAGGUGUGAAAUCCCCGGGCUUAACCUGGGAACUGCACUUGUGACUGCACGGCUGGAGUACGGCAGAGGGGGAUGGAAUUCCGCGUGUAGCAGUGAAAUGCGUAGAUAUGCGGAGGAACACCGAUGGCGAAGGCAGUCCCCUGGGCCUGUACUGACGCUCAUGCACGAAAGCGUGGGGAGCAAACAGGAUUAGAAACCCCAGUAGUCC
rnacentral:rRNA from 1 species